rnacentral:lncRNA from 1 species
UUCUUGCAACAUUUUAUGGAGUAAAUAUUAUUCUUUUGGUUGUGUCACAAAUAAAAGUGAGGAGAGAGAUGGGAGAAAAUGAAAAGAGAGAAAGAGGUUAAAAAGAAAGAGAGAGAGAGAAAGGAUAGAGAAGUGAAGAGAGGGAAUAAAGAAAAUGAGAUAGAAAAAGGGAGGGAUGAGAAAGAAAGCAAAGGGAGAGUGUUGGAAAUUAGAGGGCAGCGGAAAUUAGAGGGCAGCAGAAAUAAUUGUGGAUAGCCAACGUAUCCAGGAACCGGAAUCAGAUCGAAUUGCUUGUUUUACUUGCCUGCUUAGAUCAUCCUGGUCUCGAUGCUUCUAAAUCUCCCACAUAUCUCGGCUCCUCCCACGCCUACGCCACUACAACAAAAACGGUCUAUAACGACACUUUUAAAUGUCGGUACAGAUCAAAAAAAGUGCUACUGGCUAAAUUAUUGACACUUUUAAAAAGUGUUGUUAUAUGUGGGGUUGCUAGGUAUAUAGUGACAGUUAAAGAGUGUCGCUAUAACCCAAAAAAGUGUUGCUAAUUUACCAACAUUUAUUUAAGCAUUUAGCAACCGCCGGAACUCUACCUCGUUGGCUGCGAUGGCGGAGGAGGAUGAGAGGAAGGGAUUUUCGUCUAGGAUUUCAGUCGACUGAGUGAGGGGAGAAGGAAAAAUGAUAACUCGAACCAAACGCACCCUAAUAGAUAUCCACUAGAAAAUACGUUUCUUAACUAACAAGAAAUAUAUAAUCCAUCCUUACCCUUAACUUAUUAGGAUAAAUCCCAAUCCACAUUUUGUGUGGAUCGGGUUAAAUUAAGACCCGCCAAUGUGGAUACACCACAUAGAAACAAUCUCCCACUUGGCCACAUUGGUUAAUUCUUUCUCACUCAUUCAUCUCUUCCUACGGGUAAUGGAGCGUGCGACCUGAUGAAAGAAACACAUGCAGGAGUGCU